GUACGUGAAAUUGCUGAAAGGGAAACGCUUGAAGUCAGUCACGUUGGCUAGGAAUCAACCUUGCUUUUGCUGGGUGUACUUUCUGGUUGACGGGUCAGCAUCAGUUUUGACCAGUGGAUAAAGGCAUGAGAAAUGUGGCUUCUUCGGAAGUGUUAUAGUCUUGUGUUGUAUACAUUGGUUGGGACUGAGGAACUCAGCACGCCGCAAGGCCGGGGUUCGCCCACGUUCGUGCUUAGGAUGCUGGCAUAAUGGCUUUAAUCGACCCGUCUUGAAACACGGACCAAGGAGUCUAACAUGCCUGCGAGUGUUUGGGUGGAAAACCCGAGCGCGUAAUGAAAGUGAAAGUUGAGAUCCCUGUCGUGGGGAGCAUCGACGCCCUGACCAGACCUUUUGUGACGGAUCAGCGGUAGAGCAUGUAUGUUGGGACCCGAAAGAUGGUGAACUAUGCCUGAAUAGGGUGAAGCCAGAGGAAACUCUGGUGGAGGCUCGUAGCGAUUCUGACGUGCAAAUCGAUCGUCAAAUUUGGGUAUAGGGGCGAAAGACUAAUCGAACCAUCUAGUAG
rnacentral:rRNA from 1 species